rnacentral:rRNA from 1 species
CUAACGCCGUUAAAAUCGUCCGCCGGGGGAGUACGGCCGCAAGGUUAAACUCCAAAUGAAUUGACGGGGGCCCCACAAGCGGCGGAGCAUGUGGUUUAAUUCGAUGCAACGCGAAGAACCUUACCUACUCUUGACAUCCAGAGAACUUACCAGAGAUGCUUUGGUGCUUCGGGAACUCUGAGACAGGUGCUGCAUGGCUGUCGUCAGCUCCUGUUGUGAAAUGUUGGGUUAAGUCCCGCAACGAGCGCAACCCUUAUCCUUUGUUGCCAGCGGUUCGGCCGGGAACUCAAAGGAGACUGCCAGUGAUAAACUGGAGGAAGGUGGGGAUGACGUCAAGUCAUCAUGGCCCUUACGAGUAGGGCCACACACGUGCUACAAUGGCGCAUACAAAGAGAAGCGACCUCGCGAGAGCAAGCGGACCUCAUAAAGUGCGUCGUAGUCCGGAUUGGAGUCUGCAACUCGACUCCAUGAAGUCGGAAUCGCUAGUAAUCGUGGAUCAGAAUGCCACGGUGAAUACGUUCCCGGGCCUUGUACACACCGCCCGUCACACCAUGGGAGUGGGUUGCAAAAGAAGUAGGUAGCUUUUAUUCGGGACAACGCGUCGCGCUCUCUCACAAAAGCUACAUCUACUUG